AUAACCGGCAUAGAACUAAUCAAUUAUCAGAAACAGAAGCAAAAACAAAGCAGUACAAUGCUUUUGAAUAUUAAUACCAAUGCAUACAGAAAGAAAGUUGUUUUUGAGUACGUAACAAAGGAAGGUGAGGAUGUGUCAACUCCUGAACAAUGUCUAUUGUAUACAAACUCGAACAACAAAACUCUUCACACCCUUGUCCAAGAAAUCAUUCCACAGAAAUCAAUCCACAAAGACCAAUAAGCUAUCACAUGAUGGUGCAUCGGCUCCGUUCUUCUGCAGGCUGCGUGGACACUU
rnacentral:misc_RNA from 1 species